rnacentral:rRNA from 1 species
CACACCUGUUCCCAUACCGAACACAGAAGUUAAGCUCAAUAGCGCCGAAAGUAGUUGGAGGAUCGCUUCCUGCGAGGAUAGGACGUCGCUAUGC